rnacentral:piRNA from 1 species
UNGCCUUGGACAUAUCCAUAGAUGAAUGC